rnacentral:rRNA from 1 species
GUAGGGAAUUUUCGGCAAUGGGGGAAACCCUGACCGAGCAACGCCGCGUGAAGGAAGAAGUAAUUCGUUAUGUAAACUUCUGUCAUAGAGGAAGAACGGUGGAUAUAGGGAAUGAUAUCCAAGUGACGGUA